GACGAACGCUGGCGGCGUGCUUAACACAUGCGAGUCGAACGGAAAGGCCCUGCUUUUGUGGGGUGCUCGAGUGGCGAACGGGUGAGUAACACGUGAGUAACCUGCCCUUGACUUUGGGAUAACUUCAGGAAACUGGGGCUAAUACCGGAUAGGAGCUCCUGCUGCAUGGUGGGGGUUGGAAAGUUUCGGCGGUUGGGGAUGGACUCGCGGCUUAUCAGCUUGUUGGUGGGGUAGUGGCUUACCAAGGCUUUGACGGGUAGCCGGCCUGAGAGGGUGACCGGCCACAUUGGGACUGAGAUACGGCCCAGACUCCUACGGGAGGCAGCAGUGGGGAAUAUUGCACAAUGGGCGGAAGCCUGAUGCAGCAACGCCGCGUGCGGGUUGACGGCCUUCGGGUUGUAAACCGCUUUCGCCUGUGACGAAGCGUGAGUGACGGUAAUGGGUAAAGAAGCACCGGCUAACUACGUG
rnacentral:rRNA from 1 species